CCGUUUGGACGUCCCCGGCUUGCCGGCGGACAGCCCGGGGGGAAAAGACGCGUCGCGGGGUCUUCGGACCCCGGGGCGUGGCCCCGGGUCUUCCACUCUCACCCCUUGUGUUCAUGACCCUGUUGCUUCGGGGGCCACCCCGCUCGUCGGGGGCCCCCGGUGGCACAUCAAAACUCGUGUAUCUUCGCGUCCGAGUCGUAUACCAAUUAUACA
rnacentral:misc_RNA from 1 species